GNCCNAUGNNGNGNGUGUGAUAGGGAUCCGAAGUGCUCAUGGUUUCCAUGGGCUUUUUUCGAGGGUAAAUACCUUGGAGAAUAAGUGGUGGGCAAGACUGGUGCCAGCAGCCGCGGUAACACCAGCGCCACAAGUGGCAAUCGCAUAUUGGGCCUAAAGCGUCCGUAGUUGGUUUGGUAAAUCUUUUGUGAAAUUGAACGGCUUAACCGUUCAGCGCGCGGAAGACACUGCCUUACUUGGUACCGGGAGGAGGGAGAGGUAUUCUGGGGGGAGCGGGAAAAUGUGAUAAUCCUCGGAGGACCACCUGUGGGGAAGGCGUCUCACUAGAACGGAUACGACAAUGAGGGACGAAGGCUAGGGGAGCAAACCGGAUUAAAUACCCGAGUAGUCCUAGCAGUAAACUCUGUGUGCUAGGGGUUGUGCAGUCUAUAUGGCUGUGCAGAAUCGAAGCGAAGGCGAUAAGCACACCGCCUGGGAAGUACGGUCGCAAGACUGAAACUUAAAGGAAUUGGGGGGGGGAAACACAAAAAAA
rnacentral:rRNA from 1 species